rnacentral:tRNA from 1 species
GAGGGUAUAGGUCAGUGGUAAGAGUGCGUGCCUAGCAAGCAGGAGGUCCUGGGUUCAAUCCCCAGUACGUCUA